rnacentral:rRNA from 1 species
CCUACGGGGUGCAGCAGUGAGGAAUAUUGGUCAAUGGACGAGAGUCUGAACCAGCCAAGUAGCGUGAAGGAUGACUGCCCUAUGGGUUGUAAACUUCUUUUAUAUGGGAAUAAAAUGUUCCACGUGUGGGAUUUUGUAUGUACCAUAUGAAUAAGGAUCGGCUAACUCCGUGCCAGCAGCCGCGGUAAUACGGAGGAUCCGAGCGUUAUCCGGAUUUAUUGGGUUUAAAGGGAGCGUAGGUGGAUUGUUAAGUCAGUUGUGAAAGUUUGCGGCUCAACCGUAAAAUUGCAGUUGAAACUGGCAGUCUUGAGUACAGUAGAGGUGGGCGGAAUUCGUGGUGGAGCGGUGAAAUGCUUAGAUAUCACGAAGAACUCCGAGUGCGAAGGCAGUUCACUGGACUGCAACUGACACUGAGGCUCGAAAGUGUGGGUAUCAAACAGGAUUAGAUACCCGUGUAGUC